AUGGGGAUGUCCCACACUACACAGCCACACCGAAAGGACAACCUUUUAUCCACUUCAGGUAACAAAAUCUUCACAAAGUUUUACCCUUAUGUGUGUUAUCAACUUAUCAUCCCUUUGGUUCUAAACUUUAACACUAAUGAUGCACAGGAAGCAACAUUAUGUUGCUUAUGCUUUGCACAUCAAUUCUGCUGUAGUCCCAUUCAACAAAUAUCUACUGGUCAAAUAUCAAGCACCUAUACAUGUAGAGGUGUGCAACAGAUCCUUAUCAAUAAAUACCUUUUUAAAUACAUAAAUAAAGGUGAUGACCAAGCCACGCUUCUAAUUGUUGGAAAAUAG
rnacentral:rRNA from 1 species